rnacentral:lncRNA from 1 species
AUAAUAGGAUAGUAGCAAUCAUAAAGAAAAUACUAUCGAAAGAUAAGAAGCUUGUUAGGAGUUUAUAUGCUUCAAAAAAAAUUGAGAAAAGAUUAGACAUGGGAUACGAAAAGAUAGAUGCAUAUCGUAAUAAUUGUAUGCUUUUUUAUAAGGAGGACUAAUUGAAGAGCUCAUGUGACGUAUGCGGUCAAAAUUGAUUUAAGUCAAGACCAGA